rnacentral:misc_RNA from 1 species
UUGAAAUAAACCUGAUGGGUUGUUGCUGGCUCUCUAGGGAAGCAUGUGCACACCUUGUCAUCUUUAUAUCUCCCCAUGUGCACCUUUUGUAGACCCAGGGAUAUCUUUCCUGGUUGUCUAUGUUGAUUCUUCAUUUACGCAUGUCAAUAAGAAUGUUGUGUCCAUGAUAAAAAUCUAUA